AUGUCAGUCUUAAAAAUCGAUGCGUCGUAUAUGACAGUUUCAAAAACAACUUGAUCAAAUUUUAGACAUGUUUCAACAACUUAUGAAAACAGUAUCUGAAGACGUCUAUCUCUGUGAGAAGCAGUCUUUAGCAGAUAGAUAAAGAAUCAGUCGUCACAUAAGAAGUGAGAUCCUGUGGAGAGAAAGUGUAGCAGUUUAACAAAAAGGCACUGAUAUAGCAGGUGCUAUUUGUGACGCUGCCUGUUUUGAAAAACCAUUAUUAAAACAGCUGUUACAAAAAGAAAUAUAUCCCUAAAUAUACGUGGAAGACAUCAGAUGAUCCAGAGUAACCAUGUUUAGUGUACGGUAAUGUUGUGAUAACCAAAUAACAGUGGAGCAUAAGAAUUUUCUUUUAAAACGCCUUAACUUUUGUAAGCAUACUUACGGCUACCCUAUACGACUCGCUUUAAUAAUUUUUUCCAGCUUGAAGUAGAAAAGAUGCACAUGUUGUUAACAUAUUCAACUUUAAUGACGAAGUAUAUAACAAACAUUACAUUUAUUUGCAAGAUGCUCUACGACUAUAAUUAAUACAACAUUUCCCUAAUUGCUUUUCAUGCAUUCACGUCCUACAUUAAAUAAGACCUUUACAUACAUAUAUGAUCGAAUUUAAGUUUAUUAAUAAUCCAUACUUCAGUGACUAUA